CAGGACACCAGAAGACAACGCCAAACAGUUCUGAGACCCGGGAGAGGCAUGCUGUUGCUGUGGCUGCGUUACAGAGGAGAACACAGGGCCACAGAGACCAAGCAGCUCAUCAAGGGUCACGCAACCAGCAACGCCAAGCGAGGCCUUGAACCGUGUCUGCGUGACGCCCAAGCCUAGGUUGGUACCCAGUGCAGAGCCCUCACUCCUGCCUCCACAGCCCUGCUCCUGACUUGCCUCCUCCCUUUGAAGAAGCUUUCCACAUCCUCCUGGGCCGGGCUUGGGGAAAUGCAGAAACACCAGGACAGCACGGCGCAAUGAAGAGGCACAAACCACGAUCAUUAAGCAAACCAGACCGCCUGGGAGCAAGUCUGGGUUUGGCUGAGAUUUGGCUCUGUGACCUUUGUCUCUGUCUCUGUCUUGGGGGAGUGCACACAUCCAUGGAGCCUCUGACCGCAGGGAAGCCAGAACUGGCCACAGAACUGAGUCAAGGUAGCAUCCCGACCUGCUCACCCUCUCCCAGGCUGAAGGCUUCUGUUCCCUUCCAAAAGAAGCAUGUUCAAACCAACGCAUGUUCUCGAGCACCUGCUGUGUCC
rnacentral:lncRNA from 1 species